rnacentral:rRNA from 1 species
GACGUAGGGCGCGAGCGUUGUCCGGAUUUAUUGGGCGUAAAGAGCUCGUAGGCGGCUUGUUGCGUCGGCUGUGAAAACCCAUGGCUCAACCGUGGGCUUGCAGCCGAUACGGGCAGACUAGAGUGCGGUAGGGGAGACUGGAAUUCCUGGUGUAGCGGUGAAAUGCGCAGAUAUCAGGAGGAACACCGGUGGCGAAGGCGGGUCUCUGGGCCGUAACUGACGCUGAGGAGCGAAAGCAUGGGGAGCGAACAGG